AUGGAAAAUGGGGAACUUCCUGAGCCACACCUUCCUGUUGCAGAAGCUCUGAAAAAGAAGGGAUCAGAACUAUGCUGGGUUGGUUUUUACUCUCAGUUCAGAACCUAUACUGGAUCUCUUUCCUUCCAAGCAGGGCAUCAACUUUCUAAACCAAACGUGAUGUCCCAGCUGGAGCAAGAACUAGGCCUGAGGAACAAAGACCUCCAAGGGUAUGUCUUUCCAGAUUUGCUUGGACAUUACUGCCAGGUUAGUCUGCCAUUUAGUCCUCUUAGCGACCCGUCCUUACUGAGAAGAGAUAGCAUCAGCUGAUCAGGCCCCCGGUCUUCCCUCCAGACAUCACCGCAUUUACUCAUCAUAACAAAACUAGAGGGUAGGUAUUGUUGGCCUCUUUUACAGUGGGAGAAACGGGUUCAGACAAAUGAAAUAGCAUACCAGAAUUUGAACACAGGUGCUUUUCUUGUUUUGUGUUGUCUUCAGGUUUAAUGAUAAUUCCAAGA
rnacentral:lncRNA from 1 species